AGAAAUAUUUGGCUGCCCCCUACAAACCUCGCUCCUCUGAUUGGCCAAUCUCUUGCGAAAGGCUUGGAGAGACGUGGGAUAAGAUCUCCACUCGCUCUCCUCCCCCCACCCCUAAUUUUCAAAGGGCCCCUUAGGCAGGACCCCUGUUAGGUAGAAGGCUCAGCACAGUAAUACUAAAGUGUGAGAAUAACGUAACAGCUGAAGUAGGAAAGCUGCUUCAGGACUAUAUGCCGAGUACAGGUCAUCUGAAAUGUCACGUCUUCACAACAUGUGCAAGUGGAUUUUCAAGAAUGUGGAGCUGAACACAUCCAAUUACAUGGAGUCGAGGGUGAUCAGCACCUUAGAAAGGUGUUGCAUAAGUGGCAGAAAGUUACCAAAACCCAUUGAAAGUGGAAGAUCCAGCUACAAAACCUCCACUGUGGGUCCUCAUGCUGUAGAAGAAAAAUAUUGCUGAGGCUCUGGAGAAGCAAUAUUUGAAGCAGAAAUGGGUUUCCAGAAGUGUUUCAGAAAGCUGCAACAGACUUCUAAAUAUGGCUGCAAGUGUCAGAGGUCAUGACUUUCCAGGACCUCUGUGACUUCUGCAGCAGCCAGUGUGGCUGGCCCAGGGGCUGCAUGAACAGCUCAGACUCUCUCUCAAAGUGGGUGACAGGAGAGUGAUCACAUGAAGAAUACCAGUUGUGAUCCCUCCCUCAGGGGCCAUCUAGUAUUGACACCUACACCCUGUCCAGACAUGCUGCUCCUGCACCCUCCCUCCUGCCCAGAGCCCACACCUCUUUCCUUCACCCCACAUCCUGCUCAGAUCCCACACCUCCACCCCAGCUUGUUUCUGCACUGCACAUGCCACCCAGAGCGCACACCUCACCUCAUUCCUACACUACCUCCAGCCCACUCCUGAAUCCCACCCCAGCCUGCUCUGACAGUUCCCUUCCACAUACUGAAACCUCCUCAUUUUGGCCCUGCCCCAGAGCCUAAUAGUUGCCCCACAAAAUCUACUAGCCUAAGCCCAUAGAAGAAUUAUCCUUGGGGCUGGAUUAAGUUCUGAGCCUUGGCACCUCCUGCCCGACUUCACCAGGGCUGGAGCUUGAGGAGAAUGAAGUGAGCAUCUUUUUUCUUUCUUUCAAAUAUCUGCAUGUCUAAUCACUUUAGAUUAGAUUUUAAACUCUCUGGAGCAGGGAUGGUGCCUUUUAACCUUUUUAAUGGUGGUUUACAAAGUACAUGUACACUGAAGGCCUGGUAUUCAACUAAACAUGCAAUCAAAUGGAAAGAUCUAUGUACAACAUCUCAUUAUAUUAGCCAUCAUAACAAACUUAGGUUUGCACAAGCUGAAUGGUAGA